AGUACUGCAGUGUGCGGCGCAUGGCUGCGAGGGCCUGCCGAGGGGCGGGCGCGAGUCGGAAAGACACCGACCAGGGAAUGGGCGACGAGGCUUGCCUUAAUUCGGAGGAAACCCAGGACUUGAGAGAGCCAUACAAUUUGAAAGACGAAGCACCGUGAAAUGCAGAAAGUUGUGGUUCGGAUAGCUCAGCUGAUUAAUUUCAUGUUGCCACAGUUUGUCAAACAUGGACAAGAUGGCUGGGGUCCUGUGGAGUUCUAGUAAUCUUCUUACGAUAAUAAAGCAACCUUAUGCCAUAUGAUAUGCUAAGGAUGGAGGAAGAUAGAGUCUAGGUGCCUGAUGACAACAUGGAGCUGUCAAGCCCUGCAUUGCCUCCCCCUGGACGUCUCAUUAUGGGAGAAAAUGAAGCAAUUUGUUUAAGCCA